rnacentral:rRNA from 1 species
CUGUGUUCACACGGCGAGACCGCGGACGGCUCAUUAAAUCAGUCGUGGUCCAAAUGGGCCAGUGCAAAUCCUACUUGGAUAACUGUGGUAAUUCCAGAGCUAAUACAUGCAACUGAUAUCCCGAAGGCGGUGUUUGUUCUUGCUUGCCUUGCGCUUGCGCUGCUCUGACGGAUGCUUUUAUUAGACCAAGCCGCUGAGGACUUGAGGGUUCGCGCUCUCUUGUUUGACUCGUGUGAUGGUGACUCUGGAUAACCAAAUUCUGACAAGCGCACGUACUUCUCUUCUGAGCGAGACGGCGCUGCCACUUUCGAGUGUCUGCCUUAUCAGCUAUCAACCGUUCGUUAUGCGCGACCGAUGGCUUUGACGGGUAACGGGGAAUCAGGGUUCGAUUCCGGAGAGGCAGCCUGAGAGACGGCUACCACGUCCAAGGACGGCAGCAGGCACGCAAAUUACCCAAUCCCAGCAAAUGGGGGAGGUAGUGACGAAAUCUAACGAUGCGGGCGCCCUUUCUGGGGCCCCGCAAUCGGAAUGGGCACUUUCUAAACAACCUGUUGAGAACCUACUGAAGGGCAAGUCUGGUGCCAGCAGCCGCGGUAAUUCCAGCUUCAGCAGCAUCUAUUAAAGUUGCUGCGGUUAAAAGGCUCGCAGUUGAAUGUCUGUAUCGAGCGCAGGUCAGGUGGACGUU